rnacentral:tRNA from 1 species
GCCCCAGGUGGUCAAGGAGGUGGCCCCGGUUCCGGUCCUGGCCGCCGGCGGCAUCGGCAGCGGUCAGCAGAUCGCCGCUGCCCUGGCACUC